rnacentral:pre_miRNA from 1 species
AGUGAAAUUGCUGGGUCAUAUGAUAACUCUGUGUUUCAUCUUUUGAGAAACUACCAGACUGUUUUCCAAAAUGCCUACACCAUUUUACAUUUCUACUACCAAA